AAUAGAUACCCCGGUAGUCCACGCCGUAAACGAUGAGUGCUAAGUGUUAGGGGGUUUCCGCCCCUUAGUGCUGCAGCUAACGCAUUAAGCACUCCGCCUGGGGAGUACGGUCGCAAGACUGAAACUCAAAGGAAUUGACGGGGGCCCGCACAAGCGGUGGAGCAUGUGGUUUAAUUCGAAGCAACGCGAAGAACCUUACCAGGUCUUGACAUCCCAUUGACCACUAUGGAGACAUAGUUUUCCCCCUCGGGGACAACGGUGACAGGUGGUGCAUGGUUGUCGUCAGCUCGUGUCGUGAGAUGUUGGGUUAAGUCCCGCAACGAGCGCAACCCUUGUUCUUAGUUGCCAUCAUUUAGUUGGGCACUCUAAGGAGACUGCCGGUGACAAACCGGAGGAAGGUGGGGAUGACGUCAAAUCAUCAUGCCCCUUAUGACCUGGGCUACACACGUGCUAACAAUGGACGGUACAAACGGUUGCCAACCCGUGAGGGGGAGCUAAUCCGAUAAAAACCGUUCUCAGUUCGGAUUGUAGGCUGCAACUCGCCUACAUGAAGCC
rnacentral:rRNA from 1 species